UCUUGUAGACCUUGGUAACCUUCAGCAUUUCUUGCAUUUUCUGAAAGAAUUCCAAGGGUAAAAUAUAUUAGAUUGCAGAGCUUUCUCAUGUUACCUAGACCCCAGUGCCCAGUGUCCCAAAGUGCCCGACACUUGAACCUCUAGGGAAAAAAAAAGGGCCCAAGGACAUUCCUUCUAAAAUGCAUAACUACAUUUGUACCCCAAAAAAUGCAUAACUACAUAAACAUAUAUAAAUAUAUAAAAUACCAACUAACUACUUACGUUUUAAGUUAUGCUACAUCGAAGGAAAAAGAAAAUAUUGCUUGAAUCCC
rnacentral:lncRNA from 1 species